GACAAACGCUGGCGGCGUGCUUAACACAUGCAAGUCGAACGGAAAGGCCCUGCUUUUGUGGGGUGCUCGAGUGGCGAACGGGUGAGUAACACGUGAGUAACCUGCCCUUGACUUUGGGAUAACUUCAGGAAACUGGGGCUAAUACCGGAUAGGAGCUCCUGCUGCAUGGUGGGGGUUGGAAAGUUUCGGCGGUUGGGGAUGGACUCGCGGCUUAUCAGCUUGUUGGUGGGGUAGUGGCUUACCAAGGCUUUGACGGGUAGCCGGCCUGAGAGGGUGACCGGCCAAAUUGGGACUGAGAUACGGCCCAGACUCCUACGGGAGGCAGCAGUGGGGAAUAUUGCACAAUGGGCGGAAGCCUGAUGCAGCAACGCCGCGUGCGGGAUGACGGCCUUCGGGUUGUAAACCGCUUUCGCCUGUGACGAAGCGUGAGUGACGGUAAUGGGUAAAGAAGCACCGGCUAACUACGUG
rnacentral:rRNA from 1 species